AAGGGGGCUAGCGUUGCUCGGAAUCACUGGGCGUAAAGCGCACGUAGGCGGAUUGUUAAGUCAGGGGUGAAAUCCUGGAGCUCAACUCCAGAACUGCCUUUGAUACUGGCGAUCUCGAGUCCGGGAGAGGUGAGUGGAACUGCGAGUGUAGAGGUGAAAUUCGUAGAUAUUCGCAAGAACACCAGUGGCGAAGGCGGCUCACUGGCCCGGUACUGACGCUGAGGUGCGAAAGCGUGGGGAGCAAACAGG
rnacentral:rRNA from 1 species